UCAACAAGAUCUGGAUGAGACUUGGCAGCGGAAAAAAAAGCGGGUCAUUUCGUUUUGGAGCAAGAGAAACAAGUUGAGUCUUUCAUUUAUAAUAAUUGUACAAUUCAAUUAGUUAAUUAACUUCGUUAUGAAGAUAGGAAUUGCUGUCAUGAAACUUUCUAAACACGGGAUAGUUCAGAGCAGCUUCUUAAUGCAAGUAGUGUUGAGCAGUGAACCCAACUUUACAGUGUUUGACAUUAAUGUUAGUCCUAAUGUUACUUUUUACUUUUAUUAACAAAAAACACAAGCAGAGUCUUUUAUGACAUUCACCCCUCAUAAAAGCACAUUUAUGGCGCUUGGUAAAAGUUUUAGCGCCCAUGUUGUUUGAAUUUUUGAGUUAGCUGCUUUACUACAGCUUCUUUGUGUAACUUAGUGUCAGUAAUUAGCCUUGGCUCGUACCAACGAUUUUUCGGUAAUUAGCCUUGACCAUUCCAACGUUGUUUCAGUAAUUAGCCUUGGCCCGUACCAACGUUGUUUCAGUAAUUAGCCUUGGCCCGUUCCAACGAGGUGGGCGGAGGGGCUUCGUCAUUUCAGAAAUUACCCAUGACCAGGUAAAAGUAGUCUACAAUGCUGCGUGUCAUAUCAGAAAAUCAAAUCGGACGUCUUUCAAUUGAAGACAUCCCAUCCAGUGUUGAGGAGCUGUAUCAGGUGUUGCGAACAAAGCUUGGUCUGAGAGGUGGAUUUAUUUUGCAAUUUGAGGAUCCUGAUUUCAAUAAUCAGUUGUGCAAACUAACCGACAUCAAAGACCUUCCUGUGGGGCGGGCAACUGUGAAAGUGUUGUUCACAUCUGAUAACAUCUCAGAUUCUACACUGGACACUUGCAGCCUCCCUUCUCUUAGUAGUGGAGAUUCUGUUGAAUGGCCUGACCCCUUCCCGAUUCCACGGUUCUCACAUGAUGUGGAGCUGCAGCUGAAAGAAGCAAAUGCUAAGGACGGAUCUGUAAUGGUGAUUCCUAAAGGUUUAAAGACUGAUAUCCUUCAUACACUGACUAGUACUUCUCCUGAGAGGCAUCACUGUGAGAAAGUAGCCAAAGCACGUGUGGAGAAGCAUCCUAGUCUGAAGGAGCCAGGGUCUGAAAAGGGAUGGUACUCAUGGUUUCACAGCCUGAAAUUUAAGCUUGGAUCUAUCGGCAAAAGUUAAGGGAAGCAGGAUGCCCUGAGGUGGUGGUAACCAAAAGAAAAGGAGAUUUGGAGGGAAAAUGUGUAAAGAAGUCAAAGAAGGGUGAGGUCAACUACUGUCCAGAUCCACCUGAAGGACAGAGUCCUGAACUGCUGAAGAGACCCUGAUCACCAGCUGGUAGAAGACCUGAUGGUUGCUACGUUUUCCCAGUGUAGAAAAGAGCUCUGUUCCAUGAGAGACAGAUCAGGGCAGAGUUCAAGAGAAUCGUCACCAAAGACCUUCUGGAAUCUUUCCUUGACGGACUUGAUGGCCUGGUCCCAAGACUGCUGUAGGUGUACAAAGCAGCAACCAAGACUGGAAAGAAGCAAUCACUCAAAGACAUUUUGGACUGCCUUCAGAAAGAUGUAAGUGGAGAGCAGAUGAUCACAAAAUUUAUUAUCUUUGCUAAAACAUUUAUUUUCAUCCUACUGCAUGUUUCUUUGUCUUGUAUGAUACAAAUGAGAGGAGAAGGACUGCUGCUUUGCUUGGUCUGCCACACUACAUAUCAGGCAAGAUCCAUCAACUGCCGUCAGGAUGUGUGAUGUAAGACCAUUAGGAUUUCUGUAAUGCAAAACUGUCAAUGUGUAUAUGGGUGAUUUUUUUUUUUUUCAUUUUUUAUUGUGGGACUUUUUCUAUUCCCAGCGGAGAUUUUCAUGAAAAAAAUACUUGAUGGGAAACGACAGAUUAUAUUGGUUCAGAUUAGGUUUUAGUAGAAGUGCAAAAAAAUAAGUGUCUGUUUGCUAAAUUGUCUCAGUGAUGACAUUUAAAUACUUCUCCAGUCUGUUGAAAACUCAAAUGUUCUGUUUUUGGUGGGGGUGUCCCCAACCCAGCCUUAAUGUUGGCCAUCUAAUAAAGUCAUAAAAACUCAUUCAAUUAA